rnacentral:sRNA from 1 species
GCGGGGGCUCGCGGAGUCGGCGCCAUGACCCCAUCGAGGCUUCCCUGGUUGCUUAGCUGGGUCUCGGCCACGGCGUGGAGAGCUGCAAGAAUCCGCGCUCCUGGUCCAGGCUCCAGCAGAAAAGGAUUUGUGGCAGUUUACAGUUUAUCUCUUAAAAAUGGGAAAAGUGCAGAAGUGAGCCAAAGGCAAAUAAGUAUAACGUAAAUUAGAUGAAGCCAGAAAUUGUCAGUACAGAAAACAUUCAUGCUUUCAGUAAAACCAACAUUUUUAAACCCAUUGUUGUUGGAAAUUUUUCUCAAGAUAAUACAGUUAGCAGCCCAGACUAUGCAA